UAUAGGAGGGGUGCUCUCAUCUUAUCUACCAUCUUAUCUACCAACAUAGACAGGGCUCUAACUCCUCUAGCUCCACAAUGAAAUAGGGUGCAGGCCAGGCAGCAGGCUGUUAGCCAGCCUGCCAGCAUAGUGGAGUCUGCCAUUAGCACAGUCAGUGUAGUCAGCUCAGCCAUCACCAUUGAGACCGUGUCUGUGCCUCGACCUAGGUUGGGCAAAACUAAACAUGGCGGUGUUCGCCUUAGCAAUCUCACUAGGAUAAAGACCACCUCCAUUCCUGUCAUUACUGAAAGAGAUCAUGAUACCUCACAUCUCAAAAUAGGGCUACUUAAUGUUAGAUCCCUUACUUCAAAGGCAAUUAUAGUCAAUGAACUAAUCACUGAUCAUAAUCUUGAUGUGAUUGGCCUGACUGAAACAUGGCUUAAGCCUGAUGAAUUUACUGUUUUAAAUGAGGCCUCACCUCCUGGCUACACUAGUGACCAUAUCCCCCGUGCAUCCCGCAAAGGCGGAGGUGUUGCUAACAUUUACGAUAGCAAAUUUCAAUUUACAAAAAAAAAAAUGACAUUUUCGUCUUUUGAGCUUCUAGUCAUGAAAUCUAUGCAGCCUACUCAAUCACUUUUUAUAGCUACUGUUUACAGGCCUCCUGGGCCAUAUACAGCGUUUCUCACUGAGUUCCCUGAAUUCCUAUCGGACCUUGUAGUCAUAGCAGAUAAUAUUCUAAUCUUUGGUGACUUUAAUAUUCACAUGGAAAAGUCCACAGACCCACUCCAAAAGGCUUUCGGAGCCAUCAUCGACUCAGUGGGUUUUGUCCAACAUGUCUCUGGACCCACUCACUGUCACAGUCAUACGCUGGACCUAGUUUUGUCCCAUGGAAUAAAUGUGGUGGAUCUUAAUGUUUUUCCUCAUAAUCCUGGACUAUCGGACCACCAUUUUAUUACGUUUGCAAUUGCAACAAAUAAUCUGCUUAGACCCCAACCAAGGAACAUCAAAAGUCGUGCUAUAAAUUCACAGACAACACAAAGAUUCCUUGAUGCCCUUCCAGACUCCCUCUGCCUACCCAAGGACGCCAGAGGACAAAAAUCAGUUAACCACCUAACUGAGGAUCUCAAUCUAACCUUGCGCAAUACCCUAGAUGCAGUUGCACCCCUAAAAACAAAAAAAAUGUCUCAUAAGAAACUAGCUCCCUGGUACACAGAAAAUACCCGAGCUCUGAAGCAAGCUUCCAGAAAAUUGGAACGGAAAUGGCGCCACACCAAACUGGAAGUCUUCCGACUAGCUUGGAAGGACGGCACCGUGCAGUACCGUAGAGCCCUUACUGCUGCUCGAUCAUCCUAUUUUUCUAACUUAAUUGAGGAAAAUAAGAACAAUCCGAAAUUCCUUUUUAAUACUGUCGCAAAGCUAACUAAAAAGCAGCAUUCCCCAAGAGAGGAUGACUUUCACUUUAGCAGUGAUAAAUUCAUGAACUUCUUUGAGGAAAAGAUUAUGAUUAUUAGAAAGCAAAUUACGGACUCCUCUUUAAACCUGCGUAUUCCUCCAAACCUCAGUUGUCCUGAGUCUGCACAACUCUGCCAGGACCUAGGAUCAAGAGAGACGCUCAAGUGUUUUAGUACUAUAUCUCUUGACACAAUGAUGAAAAUAAUCAUGGCCUCUAAACCUUCAAGCUGCAUACUGGACCCUAUUCCAACUAAACUACUGAAAGAGCUGCUUCCUGUGCUUGGCCCUCCUAUGUUGAACAUAAUAAACGGCUCUCUAUCCACUGGAUGUGUACCAAACUCACUAAAAGUGGCAGUAAUAAAGCCUCUCUUGAAAAAGCCAAACCUUGACCCAGAAAAUAUAAAAAACUAUCGGCCUAUAUCGAAUCUUCCAUUCCUCUCAAAGAUUUUAGAGAAGGCUGUUGCGCAGCAACUCACUGCCUUCCUGAAG
ensembl:lncRNA